rnacentral:rRNA from 1 species
UGGGGAAUAUUGGACAAUGGGGGAAACCCUGAUCCAGCAAUGCCGCGUGAAUGAAGAAGGCCUUAGGGUUGUAAAGUUCUUUCACCUGUGAAGAUAAUGACGGUAGCAGGAGAAGAAGCCCCGGCAAACUCCGUGCCAGCAGCCGCGGUAAUACGGAGGGGGCUAGCGUUGUUCGGAAUGACUGGGCGUAAAGGGCGCGUAGGCGGGUUAUUAAGUGAGGCGUGAAAGCCCUGGGCUUAACCCAGGAGG